GUGGUUUAAAUGGAGCAAGUGGUUUAAGUGACUCAUCAAAUGAUAACGAUGGUGCCAGCUCCACCUCUAGUAGUAGCAAUAAUCACAUAAAUACUGUGGAUUAUUUAAAAAAAAUGUCAAAAAAAAAUAAAAUAAAAGCUUUAUAUUAUGCUAAAAAAUGCUAUAAAAUAAUAACCACAACAUUAACUGAUUUAAAUUUUCAUUAUAUUUAUAUAUUUACUCUUAUGUUAUUAGGUCAUAUAGUAAUGUCUCUAAAUUAUUUUCAUAAAGCAAUCAAGUAUUAUACUUUAUCACUACAUACUGCAUUACAGAGUAAAUUCCCUGGAUUUAUUAUUUUACAAUGUAAAUGCUUACUAGCAGAUGCUUUAACGUAUAACGGUAAUUUUGAAAAAGCAAUCGAAAUGGUAGAAGAUUGUUUAAAAUAUGUUGAUAUAUCAUCUAACACUAACAAUUUAUCUUUAUAUAUUUUAUUUAGUUUGGCAAGAAUGAAACAAUAUAUUGGUUGUAAUGAUUUAUUAAGUCCGUACAUAAUUAUAAACAAAAAGGUGAAGAACUAUUUUAAUGAUAGUGAUAAUAUUAAUACCGAUCGAGUUGAUGGGGAUAAUCAUUUUAUUCAACAUAUAAAAAAAAAGAGUCAUAUAUUGACAGAUUUAAUAAAUUUUGAAAAAAAUUAUUUUAAUGAGAAAAAUAAAACUUACAGAAAAGAAGCAAUAGAUUUGUAUGUUACUUUAUUUUAUAAACUUAUGAUCCAACAAAAUUAUGCAAUAGUGUCAGCAAAAGAUAUAUAUGGUCACUUUUAUACAAAAGAAGAGUUAACAAAUAUAUACAAAGAUAAAAUGUUUCAGCCAUAUAAUUUUAUUAAUUAUAACCUAUUCCAUGAUAUAAAUAAAUAUAUUACUGUUAUAAAAGAGAUACUAAAAAUUAAAGUCAUUUCAUUAAGCAUUCGUAAACAAUUUACGUUAGCGUCCAAAUUAUUGGCUAUUGUUUUAUCUAAAAAUGCAUCUGAUUUUGUUCAUAAAUUAACUGUGAAAAAAAGUAAGAAAGAAUGUAGUAAACAUAAUUUAUUCACUUGUUUAAGAGAUGAAAAAAAUGUUAACAUGUUUAAUCAACUAAAAAGUGAUGAUAAUAAACAAAUCAAAUAUAAUGAAGGAUUCAUAAAUUCUUUGUAUGAAGAAUAUAAUAAUGAAGAAGCACUUACGAAUACUGUAUAUUUAAAUUAUAAUAGAAAAAAUAUAUCAAAACCGUUAAAUUUAAAACCUGGCACAUUUCAUUCAUCACAACAUAAAUAUCUUUACAAAAGAAGUUAUUACACUAAAGAGUAUGACUACGUAUCCAUAGUACAUAUUCUGUUUGAUGAAACUUAUUUUAACAUAAAAGAUAUUUGUAAGUAUUGUUAUUUACAGUGUGACAAAUGUAAUAAACGUAUGGAUGGGCGUACCAGUGCUGGUCCUGUUCCUGCUCCUGCUCCUGUUCCUGCUUCUGCUCCUGUUCCUGGUCCUGCUCUAGGUGCUGACCCCGGUCCUGAUCUUGGUGUGAGUACAAAAAACCAAAGUACUGACAAACAAAUGGAACCAACGUUGUCAAAUUUAAAAUGGGUAGAGCCCCAAUGGUCACAACUAAAAAAUUAUAAUGAUGAAAAUAAUGUAUUAAAUCCUAAUAUAUGGUUUGAUUUACUUUUUUUUAAAGUAAUGAAAGGUACUUGUACUAACACAGAGUUGAUUAUUUUAAUAGAUUUGUUUAGAUUCUUUUUAACUCCAACACAAAAGGAGUUAAUUUUGUAUCGAGUUGUAUCUUUGAACGACUCAAAAAAUGAUAUAUAUAACCAGAGUUACAUUAAAUAAAUGUGAUUUUAUAUGCUUAUUUAUUAUAGCCUCAUAUAAUGUAAUUAUUGUUUUUUUUUUUUUUUUUUUUUUUUUUUUUUUUUUUUUUUUUUUNNNNNNNNNNNNNNNNNNNNNNNNNNNNNNNNNNNNNNNNNNNNNNNNNNNNNNNNNNNNNNNNNNNNNNNNNNNNNNNNNNNNNNNNNNNNNNNNNNNNUUUUUUUUUUUUUUUUUUUUUUUUUUUUUUUUUUUUUUUUUUUUGCAAAUACUACUGCUAAAAAAAAAUAUGUUUAGGCCAACUAUAUGAUAAGGUAACAUAUUUUUAUGAAAUGUGUUAUUUUGUUUGUAAAAUAGAAGGCCUGGUGGGGAUAUGGGCGUUCAAACAUGAUACAUUGUGAUACAUUGUGAUACAUUGUGAUACAUUGUGAUACAUUGUUAUACAUUGUGAUACAUUGUGAUACAUUGUGAUACAUUGUUAUACAUUGUGAUACAUUGUUAUACAUUGUGAUACAUUGUUAUACAUUGUGAUACAUUGUGGUUUUAUUUAUAUAUUGUAAAAAAAAAAAAAAAAAUAUGCUGACUAAUUUUACACUACUAACA
ensembl:lncRNA